GGAAAUCUGGAAAUCACGUUUACAUCAGUCCUCUGCCAAGUGCCUCUUAACCUUCCUGCUCUGACAGCAACUCGCUGUCAUUGUACAGAUGAUAGAUGGAAACAGGAGGUUCCGAAAGUGACCAAGAGUGACUUUGCUGAGCUGUGUGGUGAGUGCUGAAGUCGCUUCAGAGAUGUUAUGCCACUUUGUCCGCAGCAGCAGCCUGUCAGAGAUCCAGCAGCCUUUCCAGAGUUUGCAUAUCAUGAUCAAUUAAAUAGCAUCAAAGAAAAAAAAAAACAAAACAAAACAACAACAACAAAAGAAGUCUCCAUGUCAUGAUUUGGAAGUUGGUUGUGGCCCCAAAGAAAGCCUGCUACAAUACACACUCAAAUUUCUUUGCUAUGACACCCUAAUGUGUCUCAGGACGCAGAGUCCAAGGAAUGGAGAGAUCCAUGCACACUGACAUGAAAAUGAUAUUUGGAUCUGGUGUGGACUCUGCGGCUCAGUAAGCAGACAGACUGAGACUGAACGGCUAAGCCAAAUUGAGCAGCUGCCAAUGUCAGGCUGAAUGCGGAGAGCCUGGUCUGGCAAUCAGCAGACAUGAGCUUCAAGAUGCCUGCGGCACCAGCUUGCAGGGUGACCUAGAGCAAGCUCCUGCCUCUUCUCAGUCUCCUCUACAGCCUGCUUAAAGAAAGCUGCAUGGAUUUCUUGUGCUUGGAAUAUUGCAAAACAAUGCUGUCAUGACAUGGUUUGAGCAUUCUUAGAGGAAGAAGCCUGCGUAUACAAGGGUAAAAGUCUGAAGUCUACCUUCUCUGUGUUCUGAACUAUGUGAACUAUGUCUGCUGUGUGGUCAAAGUACACAGGAUCAGCUUGGGAACUCAAAAAACAGGUGUGUGUGUGUGUGUGUGUGUGUGUGUGUGUGUGUGUGUGUGUGUG